rnacentral:rRNA from 1 species
GACGAACGCUGGCGGCGCGCUUAACACAUGCAAGUCGAGCGAAGCGGCGGACGGGUGAGUAACACGUGAGUAACCUGCCUUAGACAUUGGGAUAGCCUCGGGAAACCGGGAUUCAUACCAAAUGGUCUAAGAUGGACUCGCGUCCCAUUAGCUAGUUGGUGAGGUAACGGCCCACCAAGGCGACGAUGGGUAGCCGGCCGGAGAGGGUGAACGGCAACAUGGGAACUGAGAAACGAUCCAAACUCUACGGGAGGCAGCAGUGGGGAAUAUUGCACAAUGGAGGGAACUCUGAUGCAGCGACGCCGCGUGAACGAAGAAGGCUGUCGAGGCGUAAAGUUCUUUUAUAUGGGAAUCAGUACCAUAGGAAUAAGGACCGGCUAAUUACGUGCCAGCAGCCGCGGUAAUAC